UGCGAUCAUACCAGCACUAAUGCACCGGAUCCCAUCAGAACUCCGCAGUUAAGUGUGCUUGGGCGAGAGUAGUACUAGGAUGGGUGACCCCCUGGGAAGUCCUCGUGUUGCA
rnacentral:rRNA from 1 species